CUCGAUCACCUGGGGGGCCCCGGCAAGGGGCUGAGAUUCUGCUGGGUAAAGUUUCAGACUUUACGCGCAGUGACCCUUUGAACCUGAUCCAGUUCAUACUGGCGUAGGGAUGGUGCAGAUGCCGGGUC
rnacentral:ncRNA from 2 species